rnacentral:rRNA from 1 species
UACGGAGGGUGCAAGCGUUUAUCCGGAUUUACUGGGUUUAAAGGGUGCGUAGGUGGACAAUUAAGUCAGUGGUGAAAUCUCCGGGCUUAACCCGGAAACUGCCAUUGAUACUACUUGUCUUGAAUACUUUGGAGGUAAGCGGAAUAUGUCAUGUAGCGGUGAAAUGCUUAGAUAUGACAUAGAACACCCAUUGCGAAGGCAGCUCGCUACACUAUUAUUGACGCUGAGCACGAAGCGUGGGGAUCAAACAGG